UCGAUCGUCAAAUCUCUCAUCGUGUCUUCCCUCCUCCUCUGUUUUCCAUCCUGUGAGAAAUCGGGCAACACCGUCACGUCUUUGUCUACGCGAUUGUCAGAUCUCUCAGUGUUUCUUCCCCCUCUGUUUUCCCUCUUGACGACUUCCACGAGAAUUUAUCAUAUUCUUGUAACCUUACUCUUCUUCUUGGAAGAUGCUAUGAGCAUUACAAGGGCAACGUAGGGACUUUGCAGGGCGAAGGCAAUCGCGGGUCGUGCGGGACCAAGUGUGACUCAGACAAGAAUUUAUUAUAUUCUCGAGACAUUUUACUCUUCUUGGAAGAUGCCACUGGCGGCUGAUGAUCAAGUCUUCAACGCUUUCGAAGGGACAUCAAACACAUGUAGCUGAAAUGGGAGGAGCAGCGGAAACAAGCAGCUGUUGCAACAACGCAAAGAUUCCCUACCGACAAGCUCAACAACUCACUCAAAACCCGGCAAAUUUGAAGACAAGCUGCCAUCCCUUCUCUUCUUCUUCCCGCCGGCGCUCCGGACCGGGCAUGAACACGCUCUCCGGCUGCGCAUUGAGCACCUCUU